AUGAACGCUAGCUACAGGCUUAACACAUGCAAGUCGAGGGGCAGCAUGGUCUUAGCUUGCUAAGGCCGAUGGCGACCGGCGCACGGGUGAGUAACACGUAUCCAACCUGCCGUCUACUCUUGGACAGCCUUCUGAAAGGAAGAUUAAUACAAGAUGGCAUCAUGAGUCCACAUGUUCACAUGAUUAAAGGUAUUCCGGUAGACGAUGGGGAUGCGUUCCAUUAGAUAGUAGGCGGGGUAACGGCCCACCUAGUCUUCGAUGGAUAGGGGUUCUGAGAGGAAGGUCCCCCACAUUGGAACUGAGACACGGUCCAAACUCCUACGGGAGGCAGCAGUGAGGAAUAUUGGUCAAUGGGCGAGAGCCUGAACCAGCCAAGUAGCGUGAAGGAUGACUGCCCUAUGGGUUGUAAACUUCUUUUAUAAAGGAAUAAAGUCGGGUAUGCAUACCCGUUUGCAUGUACUUUAUGAAUAAGGAUCGGCUAACUCCGUGCCAGCAGCCGCGGUAAUACGGAGGAUCCGAGCGUUAUCCGGAUUUAUUGGGUUUAAAGGGAGCGUAGAUGGAUGUUUAAGUCAGUUGUGAAAGUUUGCGGCUCAACCGUAAAAUUGCAGUUGAUACUGGAUAUCUUGAGUGCAGUUGAGGCAGGCGGAAUUCGUGGUGUAGCGGUGAAAUGCUUAGAUAUCACGAAGAACUCCGAUUGCGAAGGCAGCCUGCUAAGCUGCAACUGACAUUGAGGCUCGAAAGUGUGGGUAUCAAACAGGAUUAGAUACCCUGGUAGUCCACACGGUAAACGAUGAAUACUCGCUGUUUGCGAUAUACAGCAAGCGGCCAAGCGAAAGCGUUAAGUAUUCCACCUGGGGAGUACGCCGGCAACGGUGAAACUCAAAGGAAUUGACGGGGGCCCGCACAAGCGGAGGAACAUGUGGUUUAAUUCGAUGAUACGCGAGGAACCUUACCCGGGCUUAAAUUGCAGAUGAAUUACGGUGAAAGCCGUAAGCCGCAAGGCAUCUGUGAAGGUGCUGCAUGGUUGUCGUCAGCUCGUGCCGUGAGGUGUCGGCUUAAGUGCCAUAACGAGCGCAACCCUUGUUGUCAGUUACUAACAGGUUCCGCUGAGGACUCUGACAAGACUGCCAUCGUAAGAUGUGAGGAAGGUGGGGAUGACGUCAAAUCAGCACGGCCCUUACGUCCAGGGCUACACACGUGUUACAAUGGGGGGGUACAGAGGGCCGCUACCACGCGAGUGGAUGCCAAUCCCAAAAACCUCUCUCAGUUCGGACUGGAGUCUGCAACCCGACUCCACGAAGCUGGAUUCGCUAGUAAUCGCGCAUCAGCCACGGCGCGGUGAAUACGUUCCCGGGCCUUGUACACACCGCCCGUCAAGCCAUGGGAGCCGGGGGUACCUGAAGUGCGUAACCGCGAGGAGCGCCCUAGGGUAAAACUGGUGACUGGGGCU
rnacentral:rRNA from 1 species